UACGGAGGGGGCAAGCGUUGUCCGGAAUCACUGGGCGUAAAGGGCGCGUAGGCGGCUCGUUGCGUCGGCUGUGAAAACCCGCAGCUCAACUGUGGGCUUGCAGCUGAUACGGGCGGGCUGGAGUUCGGUAGGGGAGACUGGAAUUCCUGGUGUAGCGGUGAAAUGCGCAGAUAUCAGGAGGAACACCGGUGGCGAAGGCGGGUCUCUGGGCCGAUACUGACGCUGAGGAGCGAAAGCGUGGGGAGCAAACAGG
rnacentral:rRNA from 1 species